UACGGAGGGUGCGAGCGUUGUCCGGAAUCACUGGGCGUAAAGGGCGCGUAGGCGGCGCGGGAAGUCCGUGGUGAAAGCCCGAGGCUCAACUUCGGGUCGGCCAUGGAUACUCCUGGGCUUGAGCACUGUAGAGGCAGGUGGAAUUCCGGGUGUAGCGGUGGAAUGCGUAGAGAUCCGGAAGAACACCGGUGGCGAAGGCGGCCUGCUGGGCAGUGACCGAAAGGUCUUAAAAGCUGACGCUGAGGCGCGACAGCGUGGGGAGCAAACAGG
rnacentral:rRNA from 1 species